AGCCCGCCGUGGACGCGUCCGGGAGCUCAGCCUCCGCGCCAGAGGCGAGUGCUGCGCUCCAGGCGCCGCGAUCCCGAGGACGCGGCCGCGCCUUCACCUCCCGCCCCGGGCACCGGCGGCGCGGCUGCUGCGGCCGCCUCCCCCCGGCGCGCGAGUCCUCUCCCAGCGGCUCCUCGCCGAGCGCCGGCUCGCCUCGGAGAGCCCGCGUCCUCGCUCCGGGCUCGGGGACCACGGACCGCCCCGCGGCGAGGGCCGGACUGCAGGCAGCGGCCAGGGAUCCCUUUUGGGCAGAGAGAAUGAGUACAUAAGGUUCUGAAGAUGCCGACUAUCAGACGAUAGCCAUUACCAAUUCAUUCCUUCAUUUAUUCAUUAUUCAUAUCUGUUCAAGAUUUACUGAACAGAUAUUUUGUGCCAAGUGCUAUGCUAGGAGCUUUGAAUUCAUCCCUGAAUAAGAACAGCAACAAAAGCAGACCCCUGAUGUUGUUGGAGGACAGCUUAGGGGCUCCCCCGCACCCCUGUGAAGAUUUGCACAACCCCUCUGCUGGGUGCGGUAUCUCAGGUCCCCUCGUUACCACGAAUUGCAAGUCGUUGCCACCACGACAUCGAGUCACCACCUGCUUGAGAAGAAUGAACUUCUUUCAGAACCAGCAGAAGCUGUCUUCUUCCAGUGAAGCUGAGAGUUGGGGACCCUAGAGGAUAAUGUUUGAACAGGUGGGAAGUGUUGGGGGCUCAAGGUGUGUGAACUAGGGCAUGGAUUCCCAG
rnacentral:lncRNA from 1 species